rnacentral:rRNA from 1 species
UACGUAGGGGGCAAGCGUUGUCCGGACUUAUUGGGCGUAAAGGGCGCGUAGGCGGCCUGGCAAGUGGAAGGUGAAAUCCCUCGGCUUAACCGAGGAACUGCCCUCCAAACUGCUUGGCUUGAGUCCGGGAGAGGUGAGUGGAAUUCCCAGUGUAGCGGUGAAAUGCGUAGAUAUUGGGAGGAACACCAGUGGCGAAGGCGGCUCACUGGACCGGAACUGACGCUGAGGCGCGAAAGCCAGGGGAGCGAACGGG